rnacentral:rRNA from 1 species
AAUCAACGCUGGCGGCGUGCCUAACACAUGCAAGUCGCACGAGAAAGCGGACUUCGGUCUGUGAGUAAAGUGGCGCACGGGUGAGUAACACGUGACUAACCUACCUCCGAGUGGGGAAUAACCUAGGGAAACCUGGGCUAAUACCGCAUAACACUUACGAGUCAAAGCAGCAAUGCGCUUGGAGAGGGGGUCGCGGCAGAUUAGCUAGUUGGCGGGGUAAUGGCCCACCAAGGCAAUGAUCUGUAUCCGGCCUGAGAGGGCGCACGGACACACUGGAACUGAAACACGGUCCAGACUCCUACGGGAGGCAGCAGUGGGGAAUUUUGCGCAAUGGGGGAAACCCUGACGCAGCAACGCCGCGUGGAGGAUGAAGUCUCUUGGGACGUAAACUCCUUUCGAUUGGGAAGAUAAUGACGGUACCAAUAGAAGAAGCCCCGGCUAACUUCGUGCCAGCAGCCGCGGUAAGGCACGACUGU